UACGGAGGAUGCAAGCGUUAUCCGGAAUGAUUGGGCGUAAAGCGUCCGCAGGUGGCUAUGUAAGUCUGCUGUUAAAGAGUCUAGCUCAACUAGAUAAGAGCAGUGGAAACUACAUAGCUAGAGUGCGUUCGGGGCAGAGGGAAUUCCUGGUGUAGCGGUGAAAUGCGUAGAGAUCAGGAAGAACACCGGUGGCGAAGGCGCUCUGCUAGGCCGCAACUGACACUGAGGGACGAAAGCUAGGGGAGCGAAUGGG
rnacentral:rRNA from 1 species